rnacentral:rRNA from 1 species
AAAUGAAUUGACGGGGACCCGCACAAGCAGCGGAGCAUGUGGUUUAAUUCGAAGCAACGCGAAGAACCUUACCAGGGCUUGACAUCCCUCUGACGGCUCCUUAAACGGAGUUUCUUUUCGGAGCAGAGGAGACAGGUGGUGCAUGGUUGUCGUCAGCUCGUGUCGUGAGAUGUUGGGUUAAGUCCCGCAACGAGCGCAACCCUUGUCGCUAGUUGCCAGCGGUUGAAGCCGGGCACUUUAGCGAGACCGCCGGGGAUAACUCGGAGGAAGGUGGGGACGACGUCAAAUCAUCAUGCCCCUUAUGUUCUGGGCUACACACGUGCUACAAUGGUCGGUACAGAGAGCUGCGAAGUUGUGAAACGGAGCCAAACUCUAAAACCGUCCCCAGUUCGGAUUGCAGGCUGCAACUCGCCUGCAUGAAGUCGGAGUUGCUAGUAAUCGUGAAUCAGCACGUCACGGUGAAUGCGUUCCCGGGUCUUGUACACACCGCCCGU